rnacentral:rRNA from 1 species
AGUGAACGCUGGCGGUAGGCCUAACACAUGCAAGUCGAACGGCAGCACAGUAAGAGCUUGCUCUUACGGGUGGCGAGUGGCGGACGGGUUAGGAAUACAUCGGAAUCUACUUUUUCGUGGGGGAUAACGUAGGGAAACUUACGCUAAUACCGCAUACGACCUUCGGGUGAAAGCAGGGGAACUUCGGACCUUUCGCGAUUGAAUGAGCCGAUGUCGGAUUAGCUAGUUGGCGGGGUAAAGGCCCACCAAGGCGACGAUCCGUCGCUGGUCUGAGAGGAUGAACAGACACACUGGAACUUAGACACGGUCCAGACUCAUACGGGAGGCAGCAGUGGGGAAUAUUGGACAAUGGGCGCAAGCCUGAUCCAGCCAUACCGCGUGAGUGAAGAAGGCCUUAGGGUUGUAAAGCCCUUUUGUUGGGAAAGAAAAGCAGCAGGUUAAUACCCCGCUGUUCUGACGGUACCCAAAGAAUAAGCACCGGCUAACUUCGUG